rnacentral:rRNA from 1 species
GCCGGAUUAAUACCGCAUACGAUCUACGGAUGAAAGCGGGGGAUCUUCGGACCUCGCGCUAUAGGGGCGGCCGAUGGCGGAUUAGCUAGUUGGUGAGGUAAAGGCUCACCAAGGCGACGAUCCGUAGCUGGUCUGAGAGGACGACCAGCCACACUGGGACUGAGACACGGCCCAGACUCCUACGGGAGGCAGCAGUGGGGAAUUUUGGACAAUGGGCGAAAGCCUGAUCCAGCAAUGCCGCGUGUGUGAAGAAGGCCUUCGGGUUGUAAAGCACUUUUGUCCGGAAAGAAAUCCCUGGUCCUAAUAUGGCCGGGGGAUGACGGUACCGGAAGAAUAAGCACCGGCUAACUACGUGCCAGCAGCCGCGGUAAUACGUAGGGUGCAAGCGUUAAUCGGAAUUACUGGGCGUAAAGCGUGCGCAGGCGGUGAUGUAAGACCGAUGUGAAAUCCCCGGGCUCAACCUGGGAACUGCAUUGGUGACUGCAUCGCUUGAGUAUGGCAGAGGGGGGUAGAAUUCCACGUGUAGCAGUGAAAUGCGUAGAGAUGUGGAGGAAUACCGAUGGCGAAGGCAGCCCCCUGGGUCAANACUGACGCUUCAUGCACGAAACGCGGG